AGAAAUGCCUUCUAGGGUUCCGUCACCACGUGAGUCUGGUCCGAGAGAAGGCCCCGGAAAAUAUUCCGGGACACGGAAGGAGAAAAGCCUGGGAGAU
rnacentral:sRNA from 2 species